rnacentral:rRNA from 1 species
AUUGAACGCUGGCGGCAGGCCUAACACAUGCAAGUCGAGCGGAUGACGGGAGCUUGCUCCUUGAUUCAGCGGCGGACGGGUGAGUAAUGCCUAGGAAUCUGCCUGGUAGUGGGGGACAACGUUUCGAAAGGAACGCUAAUACCGCAUACGUCCUACGGGAGAAAGCAGGGGACCUUCGGGCCUUGCGCUAUCAGAUGAGCCUAGGUCGGAUUAGCUAGUAGGUGAGGUGAUGGCUCACCUAGGCGACGAUCCGUAACUGGUCUGAGAGGAUGAUCAGUCACACUGGAACUGAGACACGGUCCAGACUCCUACGGGAGGCAGCAGUGGGGAAUAUUGGACAAUGGGCGAAAGCCUGAUCCAGCCAUGCCGCGUGUGUGAAGAAGGUCUUCGGAUUGUAAAGCACUUUAAGUUGGGAGGAAGGGCAGUAAGUUAAUACCUUGCUGUUUUGACGUUACCGACAGAAUAAGCACCGGCUAACUCUGUGCCAGCCGCCGCAGUAACAC